rnacentral:rRNA from 1 species
AACGAACGCUGGCGGCAGGCCUAACACAUGCAAGUCGAACGCCCCCUUCGGGGGGAGUGGCGCACGGGUGAGUAACGCGUGGGAAUCUGCGCUUUGGUCUGGAAUAACCCUGGGAAACUAGGGCUAAAACCGGAUAAGCCCCGCGAGGGGGAAAGUUUACGCCGAAGGAGGAGCCCGCGUCCGAUUAGCUAGUUGGUGAGGUAAGAGCUUACCAAGGCGACGAUCGGUAGCUGGUCUGAGAGGACGAUCAGCCACACUGGGACUGAGACACGGCCCAGACUCCUACGGGAGGCAGCAGUGGGGAAUAUUGGACAAUGGGCGCAAGCCUGAUCCAGCCAUGCCGCGUGAGUGAUGAAGGCCUUCGGGUUGUAAAGCUCUUUUGGCGGGGACGAUGAUGACGGUACCCGCAGAAUAAGCCCCGGCAAACUUCGUGCCAGCCGCCGCAGUAA